CACAAUAAACAUAUGAAGGCUGCACCGCCAACAGGCGGCAAGGCUGGAGUAUUUAUUACCCUUGUCUUUUUGCGCACCUUGGUUGUUUCCUGGGCGGGUUCGCCCGCCCUCCAGGACCACAUGAUAAACCUUUUUUAUGCAGUUGCAAAUCAGCGUCAGUUACAACAAAUGUAAAUCAUUUA
rnacentral:misc_RNA from 1 species